rnacentral:misc_RNA from 1 species
GUAGGUGAACCUGCGGAAGGAUCAUUAAUGAAUUUAUAAUCCGGCGAGACGAAGGACGAGGACUGUCGCUGGCCUUCAACCGAGGCAUGUGCACGCUCUCUUCUGGGCUUUCGCCGUAUGGGCGUGGGGCGACCCGCGUCUUCAUAUACCUCUUCGUGUAGAAAGUCUUCGAAUGUUUUUACCAUCAUCGAGUCGCGACUUCUAGGAGACGCGAUUCUUUGAGACAAAAGUUAUCACAACUUUCAGCAAUGGAUCUCUUGGCUCUC